rnacentral:lncRNA from 1 species
UAUCCUGUUGCCUCUGCCUUCCUCAUGUCAUGUCUGCCCCUUGCAUUAACAGAUGGGAAGAUGAGUUGUAGUGAGGCUAAGUGAUUUGUUAAAGGUCAUUAGACCAGUUGUUAUCAAAAGUUGUCUUCUGUUACUUCUUUGUAGACCACACUGCAGCUACGGUAAUGACUCUUAGAUCUGAUAUUUACAGUUGGUCAUAUUCCCUCUGAUAAUUCCUUCCAGUUUUUAGGUUGCUGCUGCAAUUCUGGUCAGAUUGGUUGUUAAAUGUGGGACUUUUAGUACUUGCAUCAGUGAUUAAACAAAUAAAUACUUAAUGAGCCAUUCAUUACUAUAUGUUUGGUAUUGUUUUACAGCUCCCUUUUCACACUUUCAUUGUAGUAGUAGGGAAGAGAUGGCAAGGAAGCAAAUAAAUAUAAAACGUAAUUUCACAUAUAGAAAUGAACCUAUGGAGAUGAGAAAAUGCUAUCCUUACGUACGGCAUGCUUAAGGAGGUGAGGUUUGCUCUGAGAUUUGAAUUGAGAGGAGUCAGCCAUAUGGAGUCCUUCUGCGUGCAGAAAAGGGAAUAGAAAAGGCUAAGGCUUUGAGCCAGGAAUAAGCUUGGAUGUUGUAGGAACAGAAAAUGUCAGGGUGGCUCCAGCAUAGUUGGAGUGGUAGGAGAUUUUGAGGAUAAUAUAUGGAGAGUUAGGUAGGUAAUGAUUUGUGUAGGGCCUUGUAGGUCAUGGGAUGGAGCUUGAGUUUUAAGUAAGUUUGAUAGGGAGCCAUUGGAAGAUUUAGAGCCCAAGUUACAUGGUCCUAUGCAGUGUCUUUAUAUAAGAAAUAGAGUAAGGUGGCAGAGAGGACCAGUUGUGCUGUUUAGUAGCUCUUAGAGGAGAUGUUACCGUGGCGUGGACGAGGGUGGUGAGAGUAGAGUUGGGUAGGAGACAUACUCAAUAUGGGAUGUCCAGAUGGCAUCUAGAUCAGUGGCUCCCACAUGUAGGUGUUUUUAAAUGUUGAUGAUGGUGUUUUCAAUGGUCUGCAGUGGAAACUUUAAAUGAAGAUGCAUUUCUUUUAAAUAAGACCAUUCUCUUUCUAGUAUUUUUUAAAUUUCGAACAUCCAUAAAAUUGUAAAGAAAGAAUUGUACAGUACAUUUUAACAUAUUUGCUUGUUACAAUCUAUACAUUUUAUGUUUUUUAACCACUUCAAAGUAAGUUUCAGACACCAACACAUUUUUUAAAUGAUCCCUACCAUUUUUUAAAUGAUCCCUACCAAAAUGGAAGGCUGGUAUCCCAAGGUUUUGUUCCAUUUCUCAAUUCUAGUCUGUGAAAUUGAAGUCUGAUGACCACUCUUAAGAGGGCUGUUCAUUAGGGUGCGGGCUGGGCAUUAUGAGUGUGUUUUUCAUGAGUCAGUGGAAGGAGGGGCUUGUUGUGAGCAGUGCAUGAGAAAAACGGCUUGGCUUUGCUUCUUUUUCCAGCUCUGUGGCCUUGGUCAGGUUACGUCUCUUCAGUAUCGUAACUGUAAUGUGGAGAUAAAGCCUUCAUUAGUUAGGGGCACACACCGCAGUAUUCCUUAAGUCAUCUUGAUGACAAGUGAAUGCAAGGCAGCUGGUACCUUUCAGGUAGUAGUUGAAUUCAGGUAGUAUUUGUUCAGUUUUUUUUUUUUCCCUUCAUGUUCUAAGACCAGCUUGAGAGGCAAAGGUUGUACCACUGAGCUCUAGUUGUUGUUACCUAAAAAGGCCUUGUUUUAAAUUUCUGUGAUACCUAAGAAUUUCAAAUCUGGGUUGUCAUGGAUUCUUUAUUCUUUUUUUCUCCCUUAAAAAGUUACAUUUUAGAUGAAAUCCCCUUUUUUAAAAUGGGCAAAGCAAUAAUUCUACAUCAUUUCUCCCCUUCCCUUCCACUUGUUUAGACUAAGAUAUGUUAGAGAGGGAAAGGGUCGUUGUUUUAGUAAAUACUAUUGCUGUUGACAUGUUAAUACUAUUGCUGUUGACAUGUUUACUGAUGGGCUGUGUUCCAUAAUUUUGUUUUAGGUCUUUUGUUUGAAACAGUUUACUGUUUUUAUCAGUUUUGGUCCCUAAUUUUUCCUAACCUACAGUUUUUCUCUGAGUACAUAUGGUUUCAUUGUUUGAUCUACUUUCUAUCUAUCUGAAUAUGAACUUCUAGGAUCAUGUUUAUUCUAGUAGAUGAUGACUUAAAGCCUGCAGUAUAGGAGGGACAACGUCAACUACUGCAUGUGCAAUAACAAGCUUGAAGGGAAGCUAAAUGUUUGUUACAAAUUUAAGACAGUAUUUUAAUGCCGUUUGCAUUUUUCUAAGAAUUUUCUAUAAAGCUAAUUCUGUUAUUUUUUGUCUCUAAAUUAGGGAACUGUCCAGGUUUAUUGCUGCCGGGAGACUACACUGCAAAAUAGAUAAAGUGAAUGAAAUAGUAGAAACCAACAGACCUGAUAGCAAGAACUGGCAGUACCAAGAAACUAUCAAGAAAGGAGAUCUGCUACUAAACAGAGUUCAAAAACUUUCCAGAGUAAUUAAUAUGUAAAGCCAUGUAACUAACAAAGGAUUUGCUUUAGAGAUAAUUAUUUGGAAUUUUUAUAGCUUACUUCACAAUGUGCCCAGGUCAGCUGUAUAAAAUAAAUACUGCAUUGUUGUUUC